rnacentral:rRNA from 1 species
UACGUAGGGUGGCAAGCGUUGUCCGGAAUUAUUGGGCGUAAAGAGCUCGUAGGCGGUCUGUCGCGUCGGCUGUGAAACCUGGGCUCAACUCCGGGCCUGCAGCCGAUACGGGCAGACUAGAAUUCGGUAGGGAGACUGGAAUUCCUGGUGUAGCGGUGAAAUGCGCAGAUAUCAGGAGGAACACCGGUGGCGAAGGCGGGUCUCUGGGCCGAUAUUGACGCUGGAGGAGCGAAAGCGUGGGGAGCGAACAGG